rnacentral:tRNA from 1 species
UAAAUUGAAGCCAAAUGUUAAGGUACUUAGCUGUUAACUAAGACAUAGUGGGAUAAAAACCCACCAAUUUAG